AGUGAACGCUGGCGGUAGGCCUAACACAUGCAAGUCGAACGGCAGCACAGUAAGAGCUUGCUCUUACGGGUGGCGAGUGGCGGACGGGUGAGGAAUACAUCGGAAUCUACUUUUUCGUGGGGGAUAACGUAGGGGAAGCUAACCCUAUAACGGAAAUCGCCCUCCGGGGAAAGGAAUGGAACGUUGGGACUUUUGGGGAUGGAAUCGCCGAUGUUGGAUUAGCUAGUUGGCGGGGUAAAGGCCCAGCAAGUGGACGAUCCGUAGCUGGUCUGAGAGGAUGAUCAGCCACACUGGAACUGAGACACGGUCCAGACUCCUACGGGAGGCAGCAGUGGGGAAUAUUGGACAAUGGGCGCAAGCCUGAUACAGCCAUACCGCGUGGGUGAAGAAGGCCUUCGGGUUGUAAAGCCCUUUUGUUGGGAAAGAAAAGCAGCAGGUUAAUACCCCGCUGUUCUGACGGUACCCAAAGAAUAAGCACCGGCUAACUUCGUG
rnacentral:rRNA from 1 species